AUGCUCUGCUGUCCCGGUUAUCGGCGCGGGGACAGAUGGAGGCGACACGGGACUUGGGGUGAACAGCUUUCCCCAUCCCUGCUGGAGCUGCUGGUCACCGUAGUGGCCACCCUGGGUGAGCUGGCAGCCUCCACAGCCAGGCCAGACAGGGCCGUGCUGCUGGGCGUGUCCCCAGGGUACCUGCACACAGCCCUGGGUCCUUUACCAGGCAGCUCUAUGACACCCUGGACCACGGUGGUGGCACCUGGUGGCACCGCGAUGUCACCUCCCAGCGUGACUCCCCCCUCACCUCCCUGGGCCAGGCCCUGGCUGCCGAUGAGACCACCCCAUGGACCACCUGGGCCCAGGUGACACACGCGGCCAGAGACUGGUGGGACCCAGGGGCUGCAGUUGUGGGCAGCUGGUUCCAGCUGCUGGAUGAGGCCACCAAGCUCUGGGACGCCUGCAGGGACACGGAUUCUGGCGAGGGCACCGCUGCGGCCACGGGAGAGGCCACGGGAGAGGCCACGGGAGAGGCUGUGGAAAAGGCCACGGUGGCCACCAGCCAGGCAAAAGUGGUCACCAGGAGGAGACAGAGGCGGAGGCCGCCCUGGGGCUGCGGGAGUGCUUGGUGGCCGCGUGUGACAAAGCCACCGCGUUCCACCCGUUCCACUGCGUUCCCCCGGGAGCUGCAGCACCGGCUGACCUGAGGGGACAAUGAAGCCGUCCGUUUCCGCGUGACCUUGGCAGUCAAGGUGGCCGAGCAGCUGUGGGAGGCCAGCGACUGGCUAGCUGCUUGUCACCUCCUGGGAACACGUGGAGACAUCUACACCCUCUUCUGGAGUUCCCAUUGUGACCUGGAUGGCCGCAGACACCGUGCAGCGGCUGAGAAGUGCCAAAGAGCCAUCAAGGACAUCCCGAGGUUGCUGCAGAAACAGUGAUGUCAGCACUGUGAUGUAAUCAGGGGCGGUGACAUCAUUGAGGACAUCACUGGUGUCACUUCUCCCCUCCCCCCUCCCUGCGCGGGAUUUGAGACAAAUUGGGGGAAUUUUCUGGGAAUUUUCAUUGGAAUUGUCCCAAAUCGUGAUGGGAGUUCCUGGGGUGCUGUCACUGGAGAUGUUCAGGGACACUCAGGGACACUCACGGAUGCGGCGGUGGGUCAGGGGGUGAAUGAGCCCCCUCGGUGCCUUGCAGCAGCGGCAGCUUCCUGCCGUGUCUGCAGCAGAGCUGGGUUAUAAGUGACAAUAGAAUAAUCAGCUUUUGCAUUUCUGUGUUGACUUUUGCAGGUUGUUAUUGAUCACAAGGACUUUGCUAUGGUACCUGAUAUUGAUUAUUGAGAAUUCCUCGUAGCUGCUCGUUGGAACUCUAAAUUCUAUCAGUGUACGUGUGCAGCGUGCAGCCGAUUUAACGGCAGCGUAAGGGUCCCUUGGGGCUCCGUGCUGCCCACCCCCCACCCCGUCAUCAGCUGGAACACCCCACAAUUUACCAGGGCCCCCCCGCACACCGGGACCCCCCAUUCACUGCCCCUUCCCCCUUCACCGACCCCCGCAAAGCGCUGGGACCCCCGAUCCGUGAGCUCCCCCAGUGCACCAG
ensembl:lncRNA